UCUUGAUAAGGCACAAACUCAUACUGGGAUAACGGGAACUUAUAAUUGGAACCACUAUAUCUUCUAUUGCGGGCCAGAGAUGAUGUCAAAAGCUGAGCAAAAGGCACUUCUGGUGAAGGUGGUGUUGUCAUAUGCACCGGCUCAGGUGGGGGAGUAAAAUUAGCAGUAGAUGGUUCAGUGGUGAAGGUAGAAAAAACAGGUGGGGAAACUAACUGUGUUUCAUGAGCAUAGGGACCAAUUGCAAAAAUAGAUGCAGUCCCACCGGGAGAAUAUGCAUUAAUAGAGAAGGAUUUGAGAGAGAGUAAUCCAGCGGGCGACUGGGUAGCAGAAGGAGGAUCAGAUGG
rnacentral:lncRNA from 1 species